rnacentral:RNase_P_RNA from 1 species
GAAGCAGGCCAGACCGCCGCUGGUGCAAACGGGGAAACCCGGCACUGGAGGAAGGUCCGGACUGCACAGAGCACCGUAGCAGCUAACGGCUGUCCACCGCGAGGUGAGGAUCAGAGCAACAGAGACGAGUCGUUUGCGGGGCGCGAGCCCGGCGAACGGGUGAAACGGGCAAUCUCUACGGGCAGCAACACCAAGUAGGCCGGCGUCGAUGUGGCUCGCGGAGCCGGCGGGUAGGUGGCACCGAGCCGGGUGGGCGACCCCCGGCCCAGAGGAAUGGCGGUCACGGCACGGCCUCGCAAGGGGCCGGGCUGCACAGAAUCCGGCCUAUCGGCCUGCUUCACAC